rnacentral:lncRNA from 10 species
GGAGACGCCCGGAGCUGGGGCCCCAUAUGGACAAAGCUCUCGUUUGCCAACAAAAGCAGUUCUUCCCUAUCCCCAGGCAGCAGCUCUAGAAAACGAUCUACUGUCAUUUGAAUCCUUUUUACUGACAAUCUCCCUUUACCACAUGGUUUUCAGUGCGCUUGACAGAAUUUUUUGUUAAAUCAUAUUUCUAAGCUUAGAGUGUGCGUUUUCCCUAUUUAUCAUUCUGUCCUUGGUCUAAGUUUCUCCUCAAGGCCACUUUCACUUUUCCGACAGGCUCAAGCAUAUCUGAAUCGAGAAAAGCAGACAUGAUUGAAGCGCAUUUAUCUCCACUAAUUAAGAGGCUUAUGCCAGGCUGAGCUGAGAUUGUAACACCAGAUGAGCCUCCAUUUCAUCCCGCUACACCUGGAGAAGCUCCUGUGGGAGGAAGACUCAUGGAGACACUUUAAACUGGAAGCAAGAGACCCCAGGGAAGAGUGUUCUUAGGCAGAGGGAACAUAACAUGCUAACGUGCUAUGAGGGGGUAAGUUUGGCUCACAGGCGCCAAACAGGUAAGUGACAGUUCCAGGUAUCUUCAGUCUGUUUAUGAAGCACAUACUGGUGUACACGCAGCUACUGUUCAUUUCUUUACGCAUUUUUAAUGUUAUAUUUUGAGACGAUUGCAGAUUCACAUGCAGUUGUAAGAAAUGAUGCAGAGGGAUUCCAUGUACCCUUCACCAAGCCUCCCACAAUGCUCACACCGUGGGGCCUCUAACCUUCCACCAUGGUCCUCCCCUGGACUCUCUGUGUGUGCAGAUCCUCUUCUGGAGCAGAACUGGGUUGUCACAGGCCUGGAGCGUGUGUUUGGAAGGUUCUGACUUUGCUGUCUUGGGAAUCAGUUGCCAACAAGGGUGACCAAGCUCCUCAGCUAGAGACAGGCCAUGUCCAGAGGCCCUGCAGGAGGACAUACCCCCUAGAGGGAGAGGCAAGGGUAGGAGAGCCAGCCUCCCGCCCCUAGAGGGAGAGGCAAGGGUAGGAGAGCCAGCCUCCCGCUGACAGUGAGCACCAAGGCCUGGAUGCAGGAUGCCUGCCUGGAGAACAUCCGGCCCAGCCCAGCCCGGCUGCCCGCUGAACCCAGCCUCCUUGUGAAUGGUUUUCCCAUCACCACUCCUACUCCAAACAAUGGAAAGAUGACAUCUUUGCAUGAUAUUUGUUUCCAUUUCUUUUUUUCCUUAAAUAAAUUUUAUUGUAUAUAUUUAAGGUAUGUUUCUGAUUCUUUUCUAAAGAGCCUAGGACAGUGCAGAGGGGAAUGGGUGCUAGCCUACCUUUCAUUCCCAUCCCCCUUUGGCUCAGUGAUACACAAGAAAACGUAACACACACUUUGAUUCAUUGAUCACCGUCUGGGCUCCAGGAGGAGGGAUUAUAACCUUUAAAAAUGUGCCUGGAAGCUUUAAAUUCAAAUGGCCAGCCUGAACUGCAUGUUAAUUGAAAUCAUGUAAUUUUGGUGUCUUUGGUAUCCACAGAGCAUGGGCCCCAAAUUUCAUCUGCUCCUGACACAGAGACGUAAACACACCCCAGCCUAGCGCAUGUUAAGUUACCUGUCUCUGUGCCGCCAUUGUGUACAACUCACAAAGACACAGCCAGACCAGGUAUCAUCGAGGUAGGCCAGCAAGUGAAGACUGAAGUCUAGUCUCAGCCUCUCAGCUUGCUGGCAUUGUGAGCCGUGACGACAGCUGGCACUUGGCUGUCCCCAAAACCCCCUUUCACAGUACCCAGCACCACGCUUCCACAUGCGAUUGAAGCAAUUAGCUGCCGUGCGGCUGAUGUACCCCGCAGAGGACUGGUGGCUCGUCUGACACAUCUGGGCACAGAAAGUAAUUGAAACAGCUGCUUCCGCCCAUAUGGCAGCAAAAGCUGGUUGUGCAACGUCUGCUGCCUGGGCUGCACCAACCUCGGGCAAAUUAGCCAUCAUUAAUCCCCAGAUCUGACCAGCAUACACAGAGCCACUAAUCAAGACAGCUGGGGGGUUGGGGGAGGUGGCUGAGAAGGACAGUCCCUUUAAGAUUGCUAAAUGGCAUCCCAGGUUAAAAAAUAAAACACACACACAAGCACAAAUUGCAGUCUUCCUCUUCCAGAACACUUUCACUCCCUCUGCCUGGCGAGGACAGGCUGUGUCUGUUGGUGCUCCUCGUUAGGAGAUUGCUAAAAUAGCAGUGCGACUUUCUGGAAGUGUCACACUGCUCUAUGCAAGCCUGGCAUCCUGCAGUUAUAAAUAGCUGGUUGCGUGGAGAGUGAGAACACGGUAUUGUGCUGUCGUGGUGAGCUGGCUAGCCAUGAAGCCCAGAAAAACCACAGUAAUUGGGGGCCUGCUUGAGAAAGGGGAACAGCACCUGACUUGGGUGGGGGAGCACAGGCAGCUCUGCCUCUCUUCUGCAAGGUGCCAUGCAUGGUUUGGGCAGGAUUUGCCUUCCAUCUGUCCACUGACCUCUCAGGGAUGCGCCUUCUAUUUAUGACAUGGAAUUUUCAGGUAAUGACUAAGAGUUAGUUGUUGCAAAUGAGCCUUGUUGACAGGUGAAAGGUCACAGGCCAUCUCGCAGGUAAAGGGUAGCUGUCUCACCUCUGACACAGACAUUGAUUAAAACACACGCUGCUGUAGCUUCAAAGGACUGUGUUGACUCAACUUCCACACUGUGGGAUGGAAUAGGCGGCUGUCUUAUUUACAUUCCAGAACUGAUGUCAUUAUUCAGAUGGCUCAUCGUUAUGCCUGACGGUGACCCAUGUAGGUGGUGCAGUGCAUCUGGGCAGGGAGUGGCAGGGGUGAUGUGUCAUCCCAGAGGUGUCAGAGACUCAUCCUGAGUGGUAGGGGUACAAGCACAGGGUGGGUCUGCAUGCCCCUGUCACUAACCCCUGAGGGCAGAGAGGCAGUCCAGACUUGGGGAUUUCAGUUCUUUGAGAAAUGGAAGUUUACAUAAUGAGUUAGAUUUGAACAAAAAAAAUUAGCUGCUAUUAGAGUCAUUGUCAAUUACUCUGAGAUAAGUGUUUUCUUCAUUGGUAAGUCUGGACUUCAGACAGAUAAGAAGACUUCAGAGAAUAACUUCAUCCUGUGCUUUGGAAGAGACAGAGGGGAUGGAGAGGUCAGAGAGAACUUGAUGCUUCUUUUUCAAUUCAGCAUGUCAAAUAAAUCACUAACUUCAUCUUGAGUUCCAUAAGGAGAAGGCUUUCCUGCAAUAGAAGCUCUUGUCUCCACUGCACAGGCCCUGCAGACUUCUUCCUGGUGUCAGUGUGAGUUGAUUCUACUUGCUUCUUUGGAGAAUGUUUUGACUUUCUCCCCACUGUUGUUCACCUCUGCCAACCUGUUCUAUGUGAUAACUAACAAAAAAGGAAUAAUAAAUAACCCUUGCAACAUGAGACAGUUAUUCAGAUUGUUGCUAAUCUUUCUCAUCAGUGUUGAGGUCAUUGUGAUGACUGUUGUUUUCUGGCACUUUUGCUUAGGGCGUGAAGGGGAGGAGUGAAAUCCUUCUGGAAAAUAUAACAGAAUAGCAGUUUUUGCCGGAAUAGCUACUUGCAGAAACGUGGUCAAAGACAUUGGUGUGCAAGUGGCAAAAAGAGUCCUGUCCCAGCACUGCAAGGGGAAGAUAAAGGCUCGUCAUCUGUGCGUGCGUCCAUCUGAGUGGAACGUGUGUCCCGGGGGCUGCUGCCACCGCGCCGGUCCCUCCUGUAAUCCGAGCCCGUGUCAGAGGACGCGGCGCCUGCAAGGGAAGAAGGGUUGCCGCAGGUGUGGCCAGAUCCUCUAGGCAAGAGGUGUGGAUUCAGGUCCUACUAGUCUUACUCCUGAUGAAGCUGGGCAAAUCAGUUGGCUCUGGAGUAAUUAGUAGCCCCUUCCUCACUGACCAUUGCAAGCUUUAUUUCCAAUAUAUGGGUCCCAUCCCAUUGUAACACUAAUUGAGAACUUCCCGUCUGGAGGAAAGAAGAGAAUGAAUGACAUGCAACAUUGGACCCUAAACAGAACCAAUGACAAACCUGUGAGCUCACAAGCACACUUCUGGAGAACCUGGCUACCAGAGAAGUGUUACUUCCAAGCUGUAAAAUCACUCAGCAAUGCUGCUUGCCUGACAGAGGAAUGGAAUGACUUGCUGAAGGAGUAGCAGAAACACUGACUUGGAGGUGAUGACUUGCAAGAGAGGAGAGUCAUCCUCCAAGAUGUCAGGGUUUCUGUUGGUGAUUGGCGA